UUAAUUAAUUAUUAUCAGCGCGGCCUAUCAGCUUGUUGGUGAGGUAACGGCUCACCAAGGCGACGACGGGUAGCCGGCCUGAGAGGGCGACCGGCCACACUGGGACUGAGACACGGCCCAGACUCCUACGGGAGGCAGCAGUGGGGAAUAUUGCGCAAUGGGCGAAAGCCUGACGCAGCAACGCCGCGUGCGGGAUGACGGCCUUCGGGUUGUAAACCGCUUUCAGCAGGGAAGAAGCCGCAAGGUGACGGUACCUUCAGAAGAAGGUGCGGCCAACUACGUGCCAGCAGCCGCGGUGACACGUAGGCACCAAGCGUUGUCCGGAUUUAUUGGGCGUAAAGAGCUCGUAGGCGGUUCAGUAAGUCGGGUGUGAAAACUCUGGGCUCAACCCAGAGACGCCACCCGAUACUGCUGUGACUAGAGUACGGUAGGGGAGCGGGGAAUUCCUGGUGUAGCGGUGAAAUGCGCAGAUAUCAGGAGGAACACCGGUGGCGAAGGCGCCGCUCUGGGCCGAAACUGACGCUGAGGAGCGAAAGCGUGGGUAGCAAACAGGAUUAGAUACCCUGGUAGUCCACGCCGUAAACGUUGGGCACUAGGUGUGGGUCUCAACCAACGAGAUCCGCGCCGUCGCUAACGCAUUAAGUGCCCCGCCUGGGGAGUACG
rnacentral:rRNA from 1 species